CCUACGGGGUGCAGCAGUGGGGAAUAUUGGACAAUGGGCGAAAGCCUGAUCCAGCCAUGCCGCGUGUGUGAAGAAGGCCUUCGGGUUGUAAAGCACUUUCAGUGGGGAAGAAAGCCUUGGGGCUAAUACCCUCGAGGAAGGACAUCACCCACAGAAGAAGCACCGGCUAACUCCGUGCCAGCAGCCGCGGUAAUACGGAGGGUGCGAGCGUUAAUCGGAAUUACUGGGCGUAAAGCGCGCGUAGGCGGUCUGAUAAGCCGGUUGUGAAAGCCCCGGGCUCAACCUGGGAACGGCAUCCGGAACUGUCAGGCUAGAGUGCAGGAGAGGAAGGUAGAAGUCCCGGUGUAGCGGUGAAAUGCGUAGAGAUCGGGAGGAAUACCAGUGGCGAAGGCGGCCUUCUGGACUGACACUGACGCUGAGGUGCGAAAGCGUGGGUAGCAAACAGGAUUAGAUACCCUGGUAGUC
rnacentral:rRNA from 1 species